CGGGGAGCACCACAACAGGUGGAGCCUGCGGUUUAAUCGGACUCAACGCCGGGAAACUCACCAGAUAAGACAGCUGAAUGAUAGUCGGGCUGAAGACUCUACUUGACUAGCUGAGAGGAGGUGCAUGGCCGUCGUCAGUUCGUACUGUGAAGCAUCCUGUUAAGUCAGGCAACGAGCGAGACCCACGCCAACAGUUGCCAGCUCGUCCUCCGGGAUGGUGGGGACACUGUUGGGACCGCCUCUGCUAAGGAGGAGGAAGGAAUGGGCAACGGUAGGUCAGCAUGCCCCGAAUUAUCUGGGCUACACGCGGGCUACAAUGGGUGGGACAAUGGGUAUCGACACCGAAAGGUGAAGGCAAUCUCCUAAACCCAUCCGUAGUUCGGAUUGUGGGCUGCAACUCGCCCACAUGAAGCUGGAAUCUGUAGUAAUCGUGUCUCAAAAUGGCACGGUGAAUAUGUCCCUGCUCCUU
rnacentral:rRNA from 1 species